rnacentral:sRNA from 1 species
GUUUUGCAUGAGGGAUAGCAGUGGAAAUCCUUUUUUGAUUUUUCUUCAAAAAAGAUUGCAACGGAUAGCCCGACCCUUG